AAGCAUACAUUAAAAAAAAAAUUCAAGCAUUGCACAAUUUUACACUCUAAAAGCAAAAGUUUAAAAAGCAAAAGGCCCUUGUGAUGCCCCUCCAUAGAGAGUGAUUCUUAGAGGCUGCUGCUUGCUGGAACAUUCUCUUCAAGGGCCACACAGUUGUCCAUGGGGAGGACAUCCACACUGGAUUUAGCCAGUUCCAUUAGGAUAUGCUUGGGCUAUUUUCAGUUUUUAACUAUUUCAAGUCACUCUAAGGAAGGCAAAACCAACUCUGGCUAGAGAAUGAGGGUCGGUUCCCCUCUCCUCGCCAUCCUUGCUGUCGUCUUUGCCGAGAUGGUCAGUAUGAGGUGAACUCUUGUCGUGUCCUGCUGAGCGGUGCCUGACCCUCGAGAGCGACCCAGCCUCCUGUGGUGACAUCCCUGCUGCUGCCAUUGGGAUCCAGAAAUGGACCGUUCCCCUCAAGAAUACCCAUCAGAUGGCUGAGACCAAAGCGCUUCUCAAAAACCCCAGUGUUUGCUUUUUAACUCAUUUAGGAAAGCCGGCAGUGUCCAAAAUAAGCCCUUGGAGAGAGGCCAGGGCUGCUCUGCGUAAACCGCCAGGGCCCCACUUUCGAGGUGAGCGGCGCCCAGGCUGGCAGCUGAUUAGCAUCUCCACACAUGGGCAGCUGGGCCAGCUGAAUUCCCUUCCAGAAUUCAGCGAGGAGCUUUUUCCCUGAAUCAUCGUGACUCCCGCAAAGCGGGCACUAAAGUGAUUAGCAUCCUUCCGGGCCACUUGGUAGCAAACACAUCCGUGGGUUUGUCCUACUGCCACCUCAGAGUUGACACACUGACAUUUAACUGUGAUUGCCAGUGGGGAGGUAGGGCAGGGUCACAGAGAGCGGCCAGUCACCUGUAGGCCAGGGUGAG
rnacentral:lncRNA from 1 species